AAUGAACGCUGGCGGCAGGCCUAACACAUGCAAGUCGAACGGGUCCUUCGGGACUAGUGGCGGACGGGUGAGUAACGCGUGGGAACAUACCCUUUGGUACGGAAUAGCCUCGGGGAAACUGGGUGUAAUACCGUAUGUGCCCCUUCGGGGGAAAGAUUUAUCGCCAAAGGAUUGGCCCGCGUUGGAUUAGGUAGUUGGUGGGGUAAUGGCCUACCAAGCCGACGAUCCAUAGCUUGGUUUGAGAGGAUGAAUCAGCCACACUGGGACUGAGACACGGCCCAGACUCCUACGGGUGGCAG
rnacentral:rRNA from 1 species